UACGGGGGGAGCAAGCGUUGUUCGGAAUCACUGGGCGUAAAGGGUGUGUAGGCGGGCGGGUAAGUCAGACGUGAAAAUCUAAAGCUUAACUUUGGACCUGCGUUUGAAACUAUCUGUCUUGAGUACGGGAGAGGAAAGUGGAAUUCCUGGUGUAGCGGUGAAAUGCGUAGAUAUCAGGAGGAACACCGGUGGCGAAGGCGGCUUUCUGGCCCGAUACUGACGCUGAGACACGAAGGCUAGGGGAGCAAACAGG
rnacentral:rRNA from 1 species